GACGAACGCUGGCGGCGUGCCUAAUACAUGCAAGUCGAACGCACAGUUUAUACCGUAGCUUGCUACACCAUAAACUGUGAGUUGCGAACGGGUGAGUAACGCGUAGGUAACCUGCCUGGUAGCGGGGGAUAACUAUUGGAAACGAUAGCUAAUACCGCAUAAUAUUAAUUAUUGCAUGAUAAUUGAUUGAAAGAUGCAAUUGCAUCACUACCAGAUGGACCUGCGUUGUAUUAGCUAGUAGGUGAGGUAACGGCUCACCUAGGCGACGAUACAUAGCCGACCUGAGAGGGUGAUCGGCCACACUGGGACUGAGACACGGCCCAGACUCCUACGGGAGGCAGCAGUAGGGAAUCUUCGGCAAUGGACGAAAGUCUGACCGAGCAACGCCGCGUGAGUGAAGAAGGGUUUCGGAUCGUAAAGCUCUGUUGUAAGAGAAGAACGGGUGUGAGAGUGGAAAGUUCACACUGUGACGGUAGCUUACCAGAAAGGGACGGCUAACUACGUG
rnacentral:rRNA from 1 species